UUGACGGACGCUGGCGGCGUGCUUAACACAUGCAAGUCGAACGGAAAGGCCCUGCUUUUGUGGGGUGCUCGAGUGGCGAACGGGUGAGUAACACGUGAGUAACCUGCCCUUGACUUUGGGAUAACUUCAGGAAACUGGGGCUAAUACCGGAUAGGAGCUCCUGCUGCAUGGUGGGGGUUGGAAAGUUUCGGCGGUUGGGGAUGGACUCGCGGCUUAUCAGCUUGUUGGUGGGGUAGUGGCUUACCAAGGCUUUGACGGGUAGCCGGCCUGAGAGGGUGACCGGCCACAUUGGGACUGAGAUACGGCCCAGACUCCUACGGGAGGCAGCAGUGGGGAAUAUUGCACAAUGGGCGGAAGCCUGAUGCAGCAACGCCGCGUGCGGGAUGACGGCCUUCGGGUUGUAAACCGCUUUCGCCUGUGACGAAGCGUGAGUGACGGUAAUGGGUAAAGAAGCACCGGCUAACUACGUGCCAGCAGCCGCGGUGAUACGUAGGGUGCGAGCGUUGUCCGGAUUUAUUGGGCGUAAAGGGCUCGUAGGUGGUUGAUCGCGUCGGAAGUGCAAUCUUGGGGCUUUAACCCUGAGCGUGCUUUCGAUACGGGUUGACUUGAGGAAGGUAGGGGAGAAUGGAAUUCCGGGUGGAGCGGUGGAAUGCGCAGAUAUCAGGAGGAACACCAGUGGCGAAGGCGGUUCUCUGGGCCUUUCCUGACGCUGAGGAGCGAAAGCGUGGGGAGCGAACAGGCUUAGAUACCCUGGUAGUCCACGCUGUAAACGGUGGGUACUAGGUGUGGGGUCCAUUCCACGGGUUCCGUGCCGUAGCUAACGCUUUAAGUACCCCGCCUGGGGAGUACGGCCGCAAGGCUAAAACUCAAAGGAAUUGACGGGGCCCCGCACAAGCGGCGGAGCAUGCGGAUUAAUUCGAUGCAACGCGUAGAACCUUACCUGGGUUUGACAUGGAUCGGGAGUGCUCAGAGAUGGGUGUGCCUCUUUUGGGGUCGGUUCACAGGUGGUGCAUGGCUGUCGUCAGCUCGUGUCGUGAGAUGUUGGGUUAAGUCCCGCAACGAGCGCAACCCUUGUUCACUGUUGCCAGCACGUUAUGGGGGGGACUCAGUGGAGACCGCCGGGGUCAACUCGGAGGAAGGUGGGGAUGACGUCAAGUCAUCAUGCCCCUUAUGUCCAGGGCUUCACGCAUGCUACAAUGGCUGGUACAGAGAGUGGCGAGCCUGUGAGGGUGAGCGAAUCUCGGAAAGCCGGUCUCAGUUCGGAUUGGGGUCUGCAACUCGACCUCAUGAAGUCGGAGUCGCUAGUAAUCGCAGAUCAGCAACGCUGCGGUGAAUACGUUCCCGGGGCUUGUACACACCGCCCGUCAAGUCAUGAAAGUUGGUAACACCCGAAGCCGAAGGCCUAACCGUUGUGGGGGAGCCGUCGAAGG
rnacentral:rRNA from 1 species